CCAUCAGUUCGCCAAUCAGCAAGAUUACCUCAAAAUGUCGAAGUUAAUCGUAUUCCUCGUUAUCGCGAGUGUAUGCAUGUACUUGUAUGCAAUGGCCACUUCUGCUUCAGGUUCGAACGGAUCGGAAAAUGGUGGUGGAAAGGAAAAAUCAUUAUUAGACGUCAAGGUAAAUUUAUAACAAGGACCGGAAUUGGGACAAAUUUGAAGAAGAUUAUUCGUUGAUUUAUUUUUCGUUAAAUUUACCUAAAGAUGAUAUGUAUAAGUUCUUUGCUGUACAAAUAAGAAAUCAUUCCUACCCUUAUCUUUCAACCCCUACGGGGACUAAUCCCAGCAGAAAUAUGAUUAUCUAUAAUUUUUUUCCGUAAAGUACACGAAAAAGUGUGUGAAUUAACAUUUGUCACCAGUUGUGCGAAAAAAACUAUGUCCUUCUAUCAUUGAAUAACAUUCCAAGUUGAGUGUACAUGUUAUGUGUUACAACAAUAAAAAUACUGAUAACCGAA
rnacentral:lncRNA from 1 species